rnacentral:rRNA from 1 species
UGUUGUUUAAAGUUAAAUCUUAAAGCUCAACUUUGAAAUUGCGUUAAAAACUGCUUGUCUUGAGUAUGGUAGGGGUAAAGGGAAUUCCCAGUGUAGCGGUGAAAUGCGUAGAUAUUGGGAAGAACACUAAACAGCGAAGGCACUUUACUAGGCUAAUACUGACGCUGAGAAACGAAAGGUAAGGUAGCGAAACGGAUUAGAUACCCGUGUAGUCUUACCCGUAAACUAUGGACACUAAACGGUAAAUUUUUAAUUUACUGUUAAAGCUAACGCGUUAAGUGUCCCGCCUGGGGAGUAUGCUUGCAAAAGUGAAACUCAAAGGAAUUGACGGGGGCCCGCACAAGCGGUGGAGCAUGUGGUUUAAUUCGACGGUACACGAAGAACCUUACCAGGAUUUGACAUGCUAGAUAGUUGCUUGAAAGAGUAACGUGCCGUAAGGAAUCUAGACACAGGUGGUGCAUGGCUGUCGUCAGUUCGUGUUGUGAAAUGUUGGGUUAAGUCCCGCAACGAACGCAACCCUUGUCUUUAGUUAUUUUCUAAAGAGACUGCCUGUAAUAAACAGGAGGAAGGUAAGGAUGAGGUCAAGUCAUCAUGCCCCUUAUGUCCUGGGCUACACACGUGCUACAAUGGGAAAGACAAUGAGCUGCAAAUCUGUAAAUUUAAGCAAAUCUCUUAAACUUUCUCGUAGUUCGGAUUGUGGGCUGCAACUCGCCCACAUGAAGUUGGAAUCGCUAGUAAUCGCCAGUCAGCUAUAUGGCGGUGAAUCCGUUCCCGGCCCU